CCUGGCUCUGGUCAGCACAGCCGACCAGGACAUUAAAAUUCCCGUUGGCAGUGCUGCCCAGCUAAGGCAGGUUUGUGCCUACAUGUUCUGACACCGCGCUGCACCCCAGAAGUGGCCAGCAGUGGGUCUGGCUUCUAGGCAGUGGGGCCACGAAGCUCCGCGCAC